rnacentral:rRNA from 1 species
CUGAAGCUAACAUAUUGGUUGCGAUUCUCGCAUUGUAAGAUAAGAACCUGUACAAGGACCUGACUUUCUCUCCAAUCGCAAGCGUCGUAAUAAUAGUAAUCGUCGUAACAAGGUAGCCGUAGAUGAGCAUGCGUCCCAUUAGCUAGUUGGUAAGGUAACGGCUUACCAAGGCUACGAUGGGUAGGGGUCCUGAGAGGGAGAUCCCCCACACUGGUACUGAGACACGGACCAGACUCCUACGGGAGGCAGCAGUGAGGAAUAUUGGUCAAUGGGCGCAAGCCUGAACCAGCCAUGCCGCGUGCAGGAUGACGGUCCUAUGGAUUGUAAACUGCUUUUGUACGGGAAGAAACCCUCCUACGUGUAGGAGCUUGACGGUACCGUAAGAAUAAGGAUCGGCUAACUCCGUGCCAGCAGCCGCGGUAAUACGGAGGAUCCAAGCGUUAUCCGGAAUCAUUGGGUUUAAAGGGUCUGUAGGCGGUCUUGUAAGUCAGUGGUGAAAGCCCAUCGCUCAACGGUGGAACGGCCAUUGAUACUGCUGGACUUGAAUUAUUGGGAAGCAACUAGAAUAUGUAGUGUAGCGGUGAAAUGCUUAGAGAUUACAUGGAAUACCAAUUGCGAAGGCAGGUUGCUACCAAUGGAUUGACGCUGAUGGACGAAAGCGUGGGUAGCGAACAGGAUUAGAUACCCUGGUAGUCCACGCCGUAAACGAUGGAUACUAGCUGUUGGGCGCAAGUU